rnacentral:lncRNA from 1 species
CCAAGGACACACCAAAGCUUCCAUGCAGGACUCUGACACAUCAAAACCUGAUGCUUCAAGAACCUUUCCUCCCUGCCAGGAUUCAGAAAUCAUGAAAUCCUAAGAAGCUCUCCAAAGACUUUGCCUCUUUUGAGACUCAACAAACAAGAAAUUAUCUUUGAUGAUUAGGGCUGAGAGUCAUGCCCAGAGAUACACACUGAAAGUUCUGCUGAAGAAAAGAGUGAGGUAUGCAACUUGUACUGAGCCUGUUAAGCAGAGAAUAUAAGCAAGGUCUGAGAUCUGCCCUAGAAUAUUUUUCUGAAGAAAAUUCUAAGCAUGUUUCCAGACACCACCGC